UAGGGAAUAUUGCACAAUGGGCGAAAGCCUGAUGCAGCAACGCCGCGUGCGCGAAGAAGGUCUUCGGAUCGUAAAGCGCUUUUUGGGGAGAUGAGGAAGGACAGUAUCCCCAGAAUAAGGCUCGGCUAACUACGUGCCAGCAGCCGCGGUAAAACGUAGGAGCCAAGCGUUAUCCGAAUUCACUGGGCGUAAAGCGCGUGCAGGCGGUCUGGUAAGUUGGAUGUGAAAUCUCCUGGCUCAACUGGGAGAGGCCGUUCAAUACUGUCAGACUAGAGGGCGACAGAGGGAGGUGGAAUUCCGGGUGUAGUGGUGAAAUGCGUAGAUAUCCGGAGGAACACCAGAGGCGAAGGCGACCUCCUGGGUCGUACCUGACGCUCAGACGCGAAAGCUAGGGGAGCGAACGGG
rnacentral:rRNA from 1 species